rnacentral:rRNA from 1 species
UGGGGAAUAUUGCACAAUGGGGGAAACCCUGAUGCAGCGACGCCGCGUGAGCGAAGAAGGUUUUCGAAUCGUAAAGCUCUUUCCUAUGGGAAGAUAAUGACGGUACCAUAGGAGGAAGCCCCUGCUAACUACGUGCCAGCAGCCGCGGUAAUACGUAGGGGGCAAGCGUUGUCCGGAAUCACUGGGCGUAAAGGAUUCGCAGGCGGAAAUGCAAUUCAAUUGUGAAAGGAAGGGGCUCAACCUCUGUAAGCAAUUGCAACUGUAUUUCUUGAGAUGUCGAGAGGCAAGUGGAAUUCAUAGUGUGGCAGUGAAAUGCGUAGAUAUUAGGAAGAAUACCGGUGGCGAAGGAAACUUGCUGGACACAAACUGAAGCAGAAGAACGAAAGCGUGGGUAGCAAACAGG